UCUGCUUUUGGUGACGCCUGACCUUGAAUUGAAAAUGGAUGUUUGUACUUUUGUGGCUAUGUACUGUCCUAACAUAAUCUAACUUUAUGCUUUUGCCGUAAAGCCUCUUUGAAAAUCGAACAAUGUGGUUAGAUUAAGGAGAUGUUUAUCAUUUAAAUUGUGUAAAAUAGUUGAUUGUUUGAGAAAUUGAAAUUAUUAGAUUUUUGAUGUUUUGAAUUUCCAGCCUUGUUAGCAAUCCCGGCUCGGGGUUCAUUGCUAACCUGUAGCCCCAACAGGGUAUUAAGUUAAGAUCUUUUCAUUUUUCAGUUAAGUGCCUGCACCUGCUGUCCUUUCAAAUUCAAAUCCAAAUGUUUCAGUUGGGCAGUUAGGUUCCUGCAAGAACCCCGACCAACUAAGGAGGUUCCACGAUGAACCCCACCUCCUAUGGGGUUCUUGGAAGAACCUUUUGGGUGCAAUUUUCAGUGCCAAGAACCCUAAGGUUCUUUGAAGAACUUUGAGGAUCUUAGAAGAACUCUUGUUGAACCCCUAAUUUUUAGAGGGGAUCUGCUGUACCUAUGUUAUGCAGGAAAAAGUCAGUUACAAAUGAUUUUGUUUUGGUUAAAAACAGGUUGUCAUCCAGGAGGCUUUGAUUCAAUUUCCAAUAUCAUUGUGCACAUGGAAAUUCUGUAAGAAUAAUGCGGAUGCCAAUUAUUUAAUGGUCUGAUCGCAUUCUGCCCCCUAUAAAAAAAUUUUUUUUUACUUUUGGUGCCAGCGAGAAGAACACAAGAAAGUAGUCAAGACAACUAUCUUAAUUAAGGCUCCAUGUAUAUCUCAUUAGGUCAGGAUUUUAAGCCUCCUCCAUGUAUAUCUAACUAGGACAGGAUUUUUAAGCCUCCAUACAUCCACUUGUUGUAAUGUAUCCAUGACAUUCGUAAUUUCCCUAAGUGCAUGAGGGUGAUAGUUUGUAGUGUGAUUUCCUUCACGGUCCAUUGGGGUAGUUAAACCCGUAUUAUAAUCUCCCACCAUAAUAAUACAGUCAUUUGUUGCAUGUGAACUCGAUAGAGGAUUAUACAUAUUUUCAAAGAACCAUGGAUCAUCAUUAUUUGGACCGUAUAGAUUAAUUAGACAAAUCUGUUAAUGGUCCAAUAGCAUAUUUAAAAGGAUCCACCUUACUUGAGGUUCUGUUUGGACAGUUUGCAAAAUCGAUUUGAAAUUGUUAUUAAUUAAUAUCAUCACCAUCCCAGUCCUUUCCUCAUCUAUAGUUAUAGGGUAAGUUUUCCUGUAAACAAUAAAUAUUAUACCUUGUCCGUAGACUGCUUACAGGGUAAAGAAACCAACAUGUAAUUUGUCAUUUAGGUGAAGUAUCCCCUUAACAAGUUCAGGCAUGAAUUCCAAGUGGUUAGGGCUAAGGUUUGGGUAAGAGUUAAAACAGAGAGUGCCUAGCACUGGGAUUGAAUCUGCGAUGUUCGGAGUCGUAGCUCACCAUAGCUCAUAAUCCAUCCCCAUUGCCAUUUAUCAUCAGUUGAACGCUACUAGCGCACCACUAGCUAGAUAUUUGACAUCGGUUACAUCUCCACCAGAGAGGGUGGAAACACUCCUAACCUCCAAACCUGGCAGGCCUUCACUAAUGAGGAAUACGGGCUAGGCUGUCAGUGGGUUCAUUAAUGGAUCAAGGUUGCUUCCUUAACACAAACACACUGACAGAGGAAGUGAACGGAGCAAGAUUGUUUCCUUAACACAAACACACUGACAGAGGAAGUGAACGGAGCAAGGUUGUUUCCUUAACACAAACACACUGACAGAGAAAGUGAACGGAGCAAGGUUGUUUCCUUAACACAAACACACUGACAGAGAAAGUGAACGGAGCAAGGUUGUUUCCUUAACACAAACACACUGACAAAAGAAGUGAACGGAGCAAGGUUGUUUCCUUAACACAAUCACACUGACAGAGGAAGUGAACGGAGCAAGGUUGUUUCCUUAACACAAUCACACUGACAGAGGAAGUGAACGGAGCAUGGUUGCUUCCUCUGCAGAAAGACAGCAUCUAGCCCAAACACACACUCCUAUGAGUCAGCAGUUUAUGGGGAGCGUACUGUACAGUGCUUGUGAGCCAGUGGCUAAACUACCAAUCAUUUGGAAGGAAUGCCAUAAUUACUUUUGUAGGGUAAAAAGAGCAAGAAAAAAUGAAAGUUGAAGGUCCACAUCAGACUACAGUCUCUAAUAACACAGUUUCUCUCCCUCUGUAUUCGUUCCAGCCCCUCAGGGACCAAUGAAUGCCAACUUUCUGAUACACAGUUUGAUAGGAAGGCCUGUUUAGCUCUCUAACAAAUAUCAAUGUGGAAGUUUUACCUGUUGUUUCAACAAAUACUUUUCCGUAAAGGAGUAACUACUGCCUCCCCUGAUUCGUUUAAGGGUGUGCUUAUCUCUCCUGAAUGUCAACGGUAAUAAACAGUGCUAAACAUAAUAAUCGAUAAUACUCGUCAACAUACUUCAAAUCAAACCAUAUUCUAUUAAUCACAUGCACCUAAUACAACUGGUGUAGACUUUACAGUGAAACGCUUGCUCACAAACAUUUCCCAACUAUGCACAGUGGGGGAAAAAAGUAUAACUAAAACAAGAGGAAUGAAAUAAAAUACACAAGAAUGGAGCUAUUUACAGGAAGUACCAGUACCAGAUCACUGUGGAGCUAUAUACUGGGAGUACCAGUACCAGAUCAAUGUGGAGCUAUACACAGGGAGUACCAGUACCAGAUCAAUGUGGAGCUAUAUACUGGGAGUACCAGUAUCAGAUCAAUGUGGAGCUAUAUACAGGGAGUACCAGUACCAGAUCAAUGUGGAGCUAUACACAGGGAGUACCAGUACCAGAUCAAUGUGGAGCUAUAUACUGGGAGUACCAGUACCAGAUCAAUGUGGAGCUAUAUACAGGGAGUACCAGUACCAGAUCACUGUGGAGUUAUUUACAGAGAGUAUAAGUACCAGAUCACUGUGGAGUUAUAUACAGGGAGUACCAGUACCAGAUCAAUGUGGAGCUAUAUACAGGGAGUACCAGUACCUGAUCAAUGUGGAGUUAUAUACAGGGAGUACCAGUACCACAUCAAUGUGGAGCUAUAUACAGGGAGUAUCAGUACCAGACCAAUGUGGAGCUAUAUACAGGGAGUACCAGUACCAGAUCAAUGUGGAGCUAUAUACAGGGAGUACCUGUACCAGAUCAACGUGGAGCUAUAUACAGGGAGUACCAGUACCAGAUCAAUGUUGAGCUAUAUACAGGGAGUACCAGUACCAGGUCAAUGUGGAGCUAUAUACAGGGAGUACCAGUACCAGAUCAAUGUGAGGCUACAUACAGGGAGUACCAGUACCAAAUCAAUGUGGAGCUAUAUACAGGGAGUACCAGUACCAGAUCAAUGUGGAGCUAUAUACAGGCAGUACCAGUACCAGAUCAAUGUGGAGCUAUACACAGGGAGUAUCAGUACUAGAUCAAUGUGGAGCUAUAUACAGGGAGUACCAGUGCCAGAUCAAUGUAGACUUAUAUACAGGGAGUACCAGUACCAGAUCAAUGUUAGGCUAUAUACAGGGAGUACCAGUACCAGAUCAAUGUGGAGCUAUACACAGGGAGGACCAGUACCAGAUCAAUGUGGAGUUAUAUACAGGGAGUACCAGUACCAGAUCAAUGUAGACUUAUAUACAGGGAGUACCAGUACCAGAUCAAUGUGGAGCUAUAUACAGGCAGUACCAGUACCAGAUCAAUGUGAAGCUAUAUAUACGGAGUACCAGUACCAGAUCAAUGUGGAGCUAUAUACAGGGAGUAUCAGUACCAGAUCAAUGUGGGGCUAUAUACAGGGAGUACCAGUACCAGUACCAGAUCAAUGUGGAGUUAUAUACAGGGAGUACCAGUACCAGAUCAAUGUGGAGCUAUAUACAGGGAGUACCAGUACCAGAUCAAUGUGGAGCUAUAUACAGGGAGUACCAGUACCAGAUCAAUGUGGAGCUAUAUACAGGGAGUACCAGUACCAGGUCAAUGUGGAGCUAUAUACAGGGAAUACCAGUACCAGAUCAAUGUGGAGCUAUAUACAGGCAGUACCAGUACCAGAUCAAUGUGGAGCUAUAUACUGGAAGUACCAGUACCAGAUCAAUGUGGAGCUAUAUACAGGGAGUACCAGUACCAGAUCAAUGUGGAGCUAUAUACAGGGAGUAUCAGUACCAGAUCAAUGUGGAGCUAUACACAGGGAGUAUCAGUACCAGAUCAACGUAGAGCUGUAUACAAGGAGUACAAGUACCAGAUCAAUGUGGAGCUAUAUACAGGGAGUACCAGUACCAGAUCAAUGUGGAGCUAUAUACAGGGAGUAUCAGUGCCAGAUCAAUGUGGAGCUAUAUACAGGGAGUACCAGUACCAGGUCAAUGUGGAGUUAUAUACAGGGAGUACCAGUACCAGAUCAAUGUGAGGCUAUAUACAGGGAGUACCAGUACCAGAUCAAUGUGGAGCUAUAUACAGGCAGUACCAGUACCAGAUCAAUGUGAAGCUAUAUACAGGGAGUACCAGUACCAGAUCAAUGUGGAGCUAUAUACAGGCAGUACCAGUACCAGAUCAAUGUGGAGCUAUAUACAGGGAGUACCAGUACCAGCUCAAUUUGGAGCUAUAUACAGGCAGUACCAGUACCAGAUCAAUGUGGAGCUAUUCACAGGGAGUACCAGUACCAAAUCAAUGUGGAGCUAUAUACAGGGAGUCCCAGUACCAGAUCAAUGUGGAGCUAUUUACAGGGAGUAUCAGUACCAGAUCAAUGUGGGGCUAUAUACAGGGAGUACCAGUACCAGAUCAAUGUAGAGUUAAAUACAGGGAGUACCAGUACCAGAUCAAUGUGGAGCUAUAUACAGGGAGUACCAGUACCAGAUCAAUGUGGAGUUAUAUACAGGGAGUACCAGUACCAGAUCAAUGUGGAGUUAUAUACAGGGAGUACCAGUACCAGAUCAAUGUGGAGCUAUAUACAGGGAGUACCAGUACCAGAUCAAUGUGGAGUUAUAUACAGGGAGUACCAGUACCAGAUCAAUGUGGAGCUAUAUACAGGCAGUACCAGUACCAGAUCAAUGUGGAGUUAUACACAGGGAGUACCAGUACCAGAUCAAUAUGGAGCUAUACACAGGGAGUGCCAGUACCAGGUACUUGAGUUAAAUACAGUAUGUACUUGAAGGCAGGUUAAAAGUGAUCAGGAAUCAAGAUAGAUAGUAAUGCACGUAAAACAAAGAAUGGAGUAGCAGCAGCAAAUGAUUAGUGCAAAAGUGUGAGUGUGUGAGUGUGCGUGUAUGUAUUUUUCUUUGUAGUGUUUGAAUGUGUGAGGAAUUUGUGUGGGAGUGACAGUGUAGUGGGUGUGAAUGGUUGUGUAUGUGUUGUGUACAAUGCAUUCGGAAAGCAUUCAGACCCCUUGACUUUUACAAAAUUGUGUUACGUUACAGCCUUAUUACAAAAGUAAUUAAAUAACAUUUUUUUCCUCAUCAUUGCACACAAUACCCCAUAAUGAUAAAGAGAAAACAGGUUUUAAAAAAACAGAAAUACCUUAUUUACAUAAGUAUUCAGACACUUUGCAAUAAGACUCGAAAUUGAGCUCAGGUGCAUUCUUUUUCCAUUGAUCAUCCUUGAGAUGUUUCUACAACUUGAUUGGAGUGCACCUGUGGUAAACUCAAUUGUUGGACAUGAUUUGGAAAGGCACACACAUGUCUAUGUAAGGUCCCACAGAAGACAGCGCAUAUUAGAGCAAAAAUCAAGCCAUGGGGUCAAAGGAAUUGUCCGUAGUGCUCCGAGACAGGAGUGUGUCGAGGCACAGAUCUGGGGAAGGGUACCAAAAAAUUCUGCAGCACAGUUGACUCCAUCACUCUUAAAUGGAAGAACUUUGGUUGCACCAAGACUUUUCCUAGAGCUGGCCGCCCAGCCAAGCUGAGAAAUCUGGGGAGAAGGGCCUUAGUCAGGAGGUGACCAAGAACCGGAUGGUCACUCUGACAGAGCUCUAGAGUUCCUCUGUAGAGAUGGGAGAACCUCUGGUUCUCUGGUCUGAUGAAACCGAGAUUGAACUCUUUGGCCUGAUUGCCAAGCGUCACGUCUGGAGGAAACCUGGCACCAUCCCUAUGGUGAAGCAUGAUGGUGGCAGCAUCAUGCUGUGGAGAUGUUUUUCAGAGGCAAGGACUGGGAGAUUAGUCAGGAUCGAGGGAAAGAUGAACAGAGCAAAGUACAGAGAGGUCUUUGAUGAAAACCUGCUCCAGAGCGUUGAGGACCACAUACUGGGGCGAAGGUUCACCUUUCAGCAGGACAAUGACCCUAAUCACACAACCAAGACAACACAGGAGUGGCUUCAGGACAAGUCUCUGAAUGUCCUUGAGCGGCCCAGCCAGAGCCCGGACUUGAAACCGAUCGAACAUCUCUGGAGAAACCUGAAAAUAACAGUGCAGCGACACUCCCCAUCCAACCUGACAGAGCUUGAGAGGAUCUGUAGAGACAAAAGGGAGAAACUCCCCAAAUACAGGUGUGCGAAGCUUGUAGCGUCAUACCCAAGAAGACAUGAGGUUGUCAUUGCUGCCAAUGGUGCUUCAACAAAGUACUGAGUAAAGGGUCUAAAAAGUAUUUAAAUGUGAUAUUGUUGUGUCAUUAUAGGGUAUUGUGUGUAGAUUGAUGAGCGGAAAAAACUAUUUAAUCAAUUUUAGAAUAAGGCUGUAACAUAAUACAAUUCUGAAAAAGUAAAGGGGUUUGAAUACAUUCCGAACGCACUGUAUAUAACGUCUAGUGAGUGUCUGUAGGGUCAGUGCAGAUUGGGUACUAUUAAUUGACUAUUUAGCUGUCUGGUUAUUUUGCAGUCAUAUGUCUUGGUUGUAAAAGCUGUCUCGGAGCCUGUUGGUCCUUAGAGCCGAUGCUCAGGUAUCAUUUGCUGGACGAUAGCAGAGUGAACAGUCUAUAGAUUGUGUGGCUGGAGUCGUUGGCAAUUUUUCGGGUCUUUCUCUGACACUGCCUGAUAUAGAGGUCCUGGAUGGCAGGGAGCUCGGUCCCAGUGAUGUACUGGGCUGUCCACACCACCCUUUGUAUCGCUUUGCUGUCAAGGGCGGUGCAAUUGCCACACCAAGCGGUGAUGCAGCCACUCAAGAUGCUCUCGAUGGUGCAGCUGUAGAACUUUUUGAGGAUCCAAAUCUUUUCAGCCUCCUGAAGGGGAAGAGGCGGUGCUGUGUCCUCUUCGUGACUGUGCGGGUGUGUGUGGACCAUGUUAAUUCCUUGGUGUCCACAUCAACAACAAACUAGAAUAGUCCAAACACACCAAGACAGUCAUGAAGAGGGCACGACAAAGAAUAUUCCCCCUCAGGAUACAAAAAGAUUUGGCAUGGGUCCUGAGAUCCUCAAAAGGUUCUACAGCUGCAACAUUGAGAGCAUCCUGACUGUUUGCAUCACUGCCUGGAAUGGCAAUUGCUCGGCCUCUGACCGCAAGGCACUACAAAGAGUAGUGCGUACGGCCCAGUACAUCACCAGGACCUCUACACCAGGCAGUUUCAGAGGAAGGCCCUAAUAAAUGCCAAAGACCCCAGCCACCCCAGUCAUAGACUGUUCUCUCUACUACCGCAUGGCAAGCGGUACCGGAGUGCCAAGUCUAGGACAAAAAGGCUUCUCAACAGUUUUUACCCCCAAGCCAUAAGACUCCUGAACAGGUAAUCAAAUGGCUACCCGGACUAUUUGAAUUUGUGAGCCCCCCCCCAACACCUCUUUUUACGAUGCUGCUACUCUCUGUUUAUCAUAUAUGCAUUGUCACUAUAACUAUACAUUCAUGUACAUACUACCUCAAUUGGGG
rnacentral:lncRNA from 1 species